rnacentral:rRNA from 1 species
AGCAGUAGCCGCGGUAAUACGAAGGGGGCUAGCGUUGCUCGGAAUCACUGGGCGUAAAGGGUGCGUAGGCGGGUCUUUAAGUCAGGGGUGAAAUCCUGGAGCUCAACUCCAGAACUGCCUUUGAUACUGAAGAUCUUGAGUUCGGGAGAGGUGAGUGGAACUGCGAGUGUAGAGGUGAAAUUCGUAGAUAUUCGCAAGAACACCAGUGGCGAAGGCGGCUCACUGGCCCGAUACUGACGCUGAGGCACGAAAGCGUGGGGAGCAAACAGGAUUAGAUACCCCAGUAGUCCCUGUCUCUUAUAC